UACGUAGGGUGCAAUCGUUGUCCGGAUUUAUUGGGUUUAAAGGGUGCGUAGGUGGCUUUUUAAGUCAUGGGUGAAAGCCCGCAGCUCAACUGUGGAAUUGCCUGUGAUACUGAGGAGCUUGAGUGCGGUUGAGGCGGCAGGAAUUGGUGGUGUAGCGGUGAAAUGCAUAGAUACCACCAGGAACACCGAUUGCGAAGGCAGGUUGCUAAGCCGUAACUGACACUGAGGCACGAAAGCGUGGGGAGAAAACAGG
rnacentral:rRNA from 1 species